rnacentral:rRNA from 1 species
CACGUAGGGUGCGAGCGUUGUCCGGAAUUAUUGGGCGUAGAGCUCGUAGGCGGUGUGUCGCGUCGGCCGUGAAAACCUGCAGCUUAACUGUGGGCGUGCGGUCGAUACGGGCAUCACUGGAGUUCGGCAGGGGAGACUGGAAUUCCUGGUGUAGCGGUGAAAUGCGCAGAUAUCAGGAGGAACACCGGUGGCGAAGGCGGGUCUCUGGGCCGAUACUGACGCUGAGGAGCGAAAGCGUGGGGAGCGAACAGG